GAAAUAGCUCAGUUGGGAGAGCGUUAGACUGAAGAUCUAAAGGUCCCUGGUUCGAUCCCGGACUUCACACA